rnacentral:rRNA from 1 species
GACGAGCCUCACAAACGUUAUUCGGAAUUACUGGGCUUAAAGGGUGCGUAGGCGGCGCGGAAAGUUGGGUGUGAAAUCCCUCGGCUCAACCGAGGAAUUGCGCUCAAUACUACCGUGCUCGAGGGAGAUAGAGGAAUGCGGAACUUACGGUGGAGCGGUGAAAUGCGUUGAUAUCGUAGGGAACACCGGUGGCGAAAGCGGCAUUCUGGAUCUCUUCUGACGCUGAUGCACGAAAGCUAGGGUAGCAAACGGG